GCCGGGGUGGCGAAAUCGGCAGACGCAGGGGACUUAAAAUCCCUUGAGGGGUAACACUCUCGUGCGGGUUCGACCCCCGCCCCCGGCACCA
rnacentral:tRNA from 1 species